AUUGAACGCUGGCGGCAGGCCUAACACAUGCAAGUCGAACGAGUGGCGGACGGGUGAAUAAUGUCUGGGAAACUGCCUGAUGGAGGGGGAUAAAUACUGGAAACGGUAGCUAAUACCGCAUACCAUCAGAUGUGCCCAGAUGGGGUUGGCUGGUUGGGGGGGGAACGGCUCACCAAGGCGACGAUCCCUAGCUGGUCUGAGAGGAUGACCAGCCACACUGAGACUGAGACACGGUCCAGACGCCUACGUGAGGCAGCAGUGGGGAAGAUUGCACAAUGGGCGAAAGCCUGAUGCAGCCAUGCCGCGUGUAUGAAGAAGGCUUUCGGGUUGUAAAGUACUUUCAGCGGGGAGGCGUUACCCGCAGAAGAAGCACCGGCUAACUCCGUGCCAGCAGCCGCGGUAAUUC
rnacentral:rRNA from 1 species